rnacentral:rRNA from 1 species
ACGUAGGUGGCGAGCGUUGUCCGGAUUUACUGGGCGUAAAGGGAGCGUAGGCGGACUUUUAAGUGAGAUGUGAAAUACCCGGGCUCAACUUGGGUGCUGCAUUUCAAACUGGAAGUCUAGAGUGCAGGAGAGGAGAAUGGAAUUCCUAGUGUAGCGGUGAAAUGCGUAGAGAUUAGGAAGAACACCAGUGGCGAAGGCGAUUCCCUGGACUGUAACUGACGCUGAGGCUCGAAAGCGUGGGGAGCAAACAG